UUGAGAAAACAAUAAUUAGUUGCAGCACUACCAAAUUGGCACCUGCUGUUCUCCUGCCUGUAACCGCUAACAAAAUAGCUUUAUAUCCUCCAGAUUUUGCUUCUGUUCCAUGUGUAUAUGAAUCUGUGUGAGAAACCUUGGUAAACUACAACUGCUUAAUGAGUCAUGUGAAAUAGACACACCUCAUAAAGAAACGCGGUUUGAAGGAGCAUUGCUGCAGACUGGCAGGAAACCAGCAGACUGAAUACCAACUGAAGAAGCAGACGUUUCCACCAGCUGCAGCCCCUUAAAGGCC